rnacentral:rRNA from 1 species
UACGUAGGGGGCAAGCGUUGUCCGGAAUCAUUGGGCGUAAAGCGCGUGUAGGCGGUCCGGUAAGUCCGCUGUGAAAGUCGGGGGCUCAACCCUCGGAUGCCGGUGGAUACUGUCGGGCUUGAGUACGGAAGAGGCGAGUGGAAUUCCCGGUGUAGCGGUGAAAUGCGCAGAUAUCAGGAGGAACACCAAUUGCGAAGGCAGCUCGCUGGGACGUUACUGACGCUGAGACGCGAAAGCGUGGGGAGCAAACAGG